rnacentral:rRNA from 1 species
UGCCUUGGAGGGUUUGAUCCUGGCUCAGGGCUAACGCUGGCAGCGUGCCUUAGCCAUGCAAGUCGAGCGGGGAGGUCCCCUUCGGG